rnacentral:rRNA from 1 species
GACAGAGGUCCCGAGCGUUAGGCGGAAUCACUGGGCUUAAAGCGUGUGUAGGCGGAUUUGUAAGUACCUUGUGAAAUCCCACGGCUCAACCGUGGAACUGCUUGGUAUACUGCUUAUCUUGGGCCACUUAGGGGUUACCGGAACAAACGGUGGAGCGGUGAAAUGCGUAGAUAUCGUUUGGAACGCCAAUGGUGAAAACAGACAGCUGGGAGUGUGCUGACGCUGAGACACGAAAGCCAGGGGAGCGAACGGG